CAGUCGCCGCGGUAAUACGAAGGGGGCUAGCGUUGCUCGGAAUUACUGGGCGUAAAGGGAGCGUAGGCGGAUCGUUUAGUCAGGGGUGAAAUCCCGGGGCUCAACCUCGGAACUGCCUUUGAUACUGGCGAUCUUGAGUAUGGGAGAGGUGUGUGGAACUCCGAGUGUAGAGGUGAAAUUCGUAGAUAUUCGCAAGAACACCAGUGGCGAAGGCGGCUCACUGGCCCGGAACUGACGCUGAGGCUCGACAGCGUGGGGAGCAAACAGGAUUAGAUACCCGCGUAGUCCCUGUCUCUUAUAC
rnacentral:rRNA from 1 species